CGCCCCGCGCGCUGCACCCGAGCUAGCAAAAGUGGUGGCUGUCAGCGCCGAGGCCAGCGGCUCCUGAGCCUAAACCCGGUUGGCGCUCGCCCCUCGCGUGCCCUCCGGUUACAGGCGGGAGUGGMGGCCCGUGGGGAGCGUCCCCGCUCCCCUGCCCCACCCCGUUGCUACGCACUGUGGGUCCGUCUGCACGGGAGCCGGAUUGCCGAACCCCGCGUUGAACGCAAGUUUCUGAGCUACCAAGUGCCCUAAGACGUUAAGUGUGGUUCAUAGCGUAAAGCGAUGCAAGAAGUAGCUACGCUCUCGGCUCUAUAGGCAACGGCUCUCAGCAAAACCUAUUCACUUUCUUCCGCGGCGCUGGGCGUACGCGUGGCAAAGGCCCCGGCGUCCUCGCACGAGAGAGCAACCUAAAGGAACCGCGUCAGGCGCGGCCCCCAAGCAACAAAGCGGCUGCCCUCGCCCUGCUCAGGGCGAGGGCGCUGCUCUUYCCCCUCCUCGCGGGCCCCCGCGGGGGGGGSGGCCACUAAAGUGCCCAAGCGCCCAGCAAGACGACCCGUCCAAGCUGUUACU
rnacentral:misc_RNA from 1 species